GAAAGGAAAAAAUACAUUGAAGAAAGCCACCUGCAAGACACCCACAUAAUAGGCGCUGAGAAGUCUUUACCAGUGAACUUGGACAAUUCAUCACCUGCCCACUAGGUACCACAAAAGUCACAGUCAGAUCUCUAUUAGUCUUCACGUAACUUUCUCAGGUUUGGAAAUUGCCAUGACUAAAAUAGCAGAGCCGUACCAACGUCAGGAGAGUGACCUGUCUACUCAGGUGGAAAUGAUGGUGUCAAGAAAGGUUGACAAUGCUAGGAAUACAUGCAAAACCAACGAAUUGUGCACUUUAAAUGGGCGGAUCGUAUGACGUGUGAAUUAUAUCUCGAUAAACCUGUUACCUGC